ACAUUGGUGGUUCAGUGGUAGAAUUCUCACCUUCCAUGGAAGAGACCUGGGUUUGAUUCCUGGCCAAUGCA
rnacentral:tRNA from 1 species